GACGAACGCUGGCGGCGUGCUUAACACAUGCAAGUCGAGCGGUAAGGCCCCUUCGGGGGUACACGAGCGGCGAACGGGUGAGUAACACGUGGGUGACCUGCCCUCAGCUCUGGGAUAAGCCUGGGAAACUGGGUCUAAUACCGGAUAUGACUCCAUGACGCAUGUCGUGGGGUGGAAAGCCUUGUGCGGCUGGGGGAUGGGCCCGCGGCCUAUCAGCUUGUUGGUGGGGUGAUGGCCUACCAAGGCGACGACGGGUAGCCGGCCUGAGAGGGCGACCGGCCACACUGGGACUGAGACACGGCCCAGACUCCUACGGGAGGCAGCAGUGGGGAAUCUUGCGCAAUGGGCGAAAGCCUGACGCAGCGACGCCGCGUGAGGGAUGACGGCCU
rnacentral:rRNA from 1 species